UACCUGGUUGAUCCUUGCA
rnacentral:rRNA from 1 species